GCAGGCCCGAAGUGUUCGGCACCGGUUGGCCGCCGCCUAGCUGACACAGAAUAGUCCACGCCAGAAUUGCUGGCAGCAGGCGAGGUUGAGCUCUCGACGACUCCAUGAUGGAGCACAGGACCGUUGCAACUGGAGAUGAUGGCAACCCUCGGUGUUACGGAGAGCUCGGGGGCUACAACAAUCGAAGGCCCGCGGCUUUUUCUCUCGUGGCGUCGGACGACCGAACGCAGUGAUAACAAGGAGGCUGUCCGGCGGGUUGACGACCUACUCGCAUCCGCGCCCUUUACAAAGUCGUUCAUCUUGUUCACCACCUCCCUGCCUCCUCCCGGUCUUCCUCCAUCCGCCCUACUGCAUCUUCAAGCUCGUCAAUCUCGCAUCAUCGUUCACUGGAAAAAGGGGCAUUGACUUCCUGUGAGAACUUUCAAAAUAAAUGUUUUUUCGAAAUAAAGGUCAGAUGUGACGGCAUCCAGUUUAUCGAGCACUAGUAUUAAGCAUAGAAAAUGUUUUAAAAGUACAGUUUAGUCAAGUACAAGUGGAGAUUUUUAUUUUAUUUUAGAUAUCUGUUUUAAUAACACAACGGGGAAAAAAGCUUCUCUGUUCACAAAUAGUUUGACCUCUUAUUUACUUACAUGGGCCUAAUGGAGGUAAUAAUAAAACGUCGUUGAAAAUGUGAGUCACUGAUGAUCUCUCUCUCUCUACGACACAUUGUUGCUUUGAGAAGAUCCGGCACAUUCCCAGUAAGACGGUAAGCGGAAGGAAGCCGGAGCUCCAAAAUCAAAAUUUCCAUUGUUGCUUCCGACUACUGCAUCUGUGAAGUUGCAACACUGUCCACUUUGCUCCAUCAGAUGCGAGACUGCCUCCUGUGCUGAAAAUGCAAACAGAUUGUGUUGUUGUUACACUUACAAUUGUUACAAAACAAUUAAUGAUUGUAAAUUGUAAAAAAGACCAGAAUAAAAAGUUACAGUA